rnacentral:rRNA from 1 species
AGUGAACGCUGGCGGUAGGCCUAACACAUGCAAGUCGAACGGCAGCACAGUAAGAGCUUGCUCUUACGGGUGGCGAGUGGCGGACGGGUGAGGAAUACAUCGGAAUCUACUUUUUCGUGGGGGAUAACGUAGGGAAACUUACGCUAAUACCGCAUACGACCUACGGGUGAAAGCAGGGGAUCUUCGGACCUUGCGCGAUUGAAUGAGCCGAUGUCGGAUUAGCUAGUUGGCGGGGUAAAGGCCCACCAAGGCGACGAUCCGUAGCUGGUCUGAGAGGAUGAUCAGCCACACUGGAACUGAGACACGGUCCAGACUCCUACGGGAGGCAGCAGUGGGGAAUAUUGGACAAUGGGCGCAAGCCUGAUCCAGCCAUACCGCGUGGGUGAAGAAGGCCUUCGGGUUGUAAAGCCCUUUUGUUGGGAAAGAAAAGCAGCAGGUUAAUACCCCGCUGUUCUGACGGUACCCAAAUAAUAAGCACCGGCUAACUUCGUG